rnacentral:rRNA from 1 species
UACGUAGGGGGCAAGCGUUGUCCGGAUUUAUUGGGCGUAAAGAGCGUGUAGGCGGUUAUACAGGUCCGCUGUGAAAACUCGAGGCUCAACCUCGAGACGUCGGUGGAAACCGUAUGGCUAGAGUCCGGAAGAGGAGAGUGGAAUUCCUGGUGUAGCGGUGAAAUGCGCAGAUAUCAGGAAGAACACCCGUGGCGAAGGCGGCUCUCUGGGACGGUACUGACGCUGAGACGCGAAAGCGUGGGGAGCAAACAGG